AUUCACCUACCCAGGUCAUACUUAUUACCCAAGACAAUCACCUACCCAGGUCAUACUUAUUACCCAAGACAAUCACCUUCCCAGGUCAUACUUAUUACCCAAGACAAUCACCUACCCAGGUCAUACUUAUUACCCAAGACAAUCACCUUCCCAGGUCAUACUUAUUACCCAAGACAUUCACCUACCCAGGUCAUACUUAUUACUCAAGACAAUCACCUACCCAUGUCAUACUUAUUACUCAAGACAAUCACCUACCCAGGUCAUACUUAUUACCCAAGACAAUCACCUUCCCAGGUCAUACUUAUUACCCAAGACAUUCACCUACCCAGGUCAUACUUAUUACUCAAGACAAUCACCUACCCAUGUCAUACUUAUUACUCAAGACAAUCACCUACCCAGGUCAUACUUAUUACCCAAGACAAUCACCUACCCAGGUCAUACUUAUUACCCAAGACCCAGGUCAUACUUAUUACCCAAGACAAUCACCUACCCAGGUCAUACUUAUUACCCAAGACCCAGGUCAUACUUAUUACCCAAGACAAUCACCUACCCAGGUCAUACUUAUUACCCAAGACCCAGGUCAUACUUAUUACCCAAGACAAUCACCUACCCAGGUCAUACUUAUUACCCAAGACCCAGGUCAUACUUAUUACCCAAGACAAUCACCUACCCAGGUCAUACUUAUUACCCAAGACCCAGGUCAUACUUAUUACCCAAGACAAUCACCUACCCAGGUCAUACUUAUUACCCAAGACCCAGGUCAUACUUAUUACCCAAGACAAUCACCUACCCAGGUCAUACCUAUUACCCAAGACCCAGGUCAUACUUAUUACCCAAGACAAUCACCUACCCAGGUCAUACUUAUUACCCAAGACCCAGGUCAUACUUAUUACCCAAGACAAUCACCUACCCAGGUCAUACUUAUUACCCAAGACAAUCACCUACCCAGGUCAUACUUAUUACCCAAGACAAUCACCUACCCAGGUCAUACUUAUUACCCAAGACAAUCACCUACCCAGGUCAUACUUAUUACCCAAGACAAUCACCUACCUAGGUCAUACUUAUUACCCAAGACAAUCAAGCAGUACUGUGUGUCAGUGUGUGUCGGCUAUGUGAUGUCUGUGUGUA